rnacentral:rRNA from 1 species
GACGAACCGUGCGGACGUUAUUCGGAAUCACUGGGCUUAAAGCGCGUGUAGGCGGGCCGCCCCGUCGGCUGCUGAAAUCCCCCGGCUCAACCGGGGAACGGGCACCGAUACGAGCGGCCUGGAGGGGGGUAGGGGGGUCUGGAACUUCCGGUGGAGCGGUGAAAUGCGUAGAGAUCGGAAAGAACACCAACGGCGAAAGCACUCUGCUGGGCCGACACUGACACUGAGAGACGAAAGCUAGGGGAGCGAAUGGG